rnacentral:lncRNA from 1 species
CAUUCACCACUGUCUUCCCAGCACAUGGAUUUUCAGAUGUCCUUGCUCCUUUAAUGCAGUUAUGAAACAACACUAUUUUCUAUAACCUUAUACAUCUGCUGACAGGGUAGAAAAGAAACCUAACACAAGCCAAAUUUUGUAAUUUCUUCUCCAGACAGAAAUUAAUUUACCAGCAGAGGGCUCUCUUAUGAUUAAAUUUUUUUUCUUUCCUUUUUUUUUUUUUAAUUCCUUUUUUUUUUUUUUUUUCCUUUGCCAAGGUUACCGCCAGGUUUAAAUAAAAAUAAUAAAAAAAAAAAAAAAAAAGAAAGAAAAAAGAAUACAGAAGGCAUGCAGCUGUUCCCAUCUCAUCAAAGGCAGCAUCACUGAAGUCAAGUGAGAAUAGAACACUGCUGAAGUGUGUCAAGCAGGAAAGCUAUUAUCUUGGGAAUGCAGAGAAGUUGUGGUGUAAAUCCCCUGCAAGGUUCCACAUCAAUUCCUACACCUGAGAAGAUAUACAGCCCCUCUUUCAGCUGAGUGGGGCUGCUUAUGCAGGAUCUG